rnacentral:rRNA from 1 species
CCAGACUCCUACGGGAGGCAGCAGUGGGGAAUAUUGGACAAUGGACCGAGAGUCUGAUCCAGCAAUUCUGUGUGCACGAUGAAGUUUUUCGGAAUGUAAAGUGCUUUCAGUUGGGAAGAAAAAAAUGACGGUACCAACAGAAGAAGUGACGGCUAAAUACGUGCCAGCAGCCGCGGUAAUACGUAUGUCACGAGCGUUAUCCGGAUUUAUUGGGCGUAAAGCGCGUCUAGGUGGUUAUGUAAGUCUGAUGUGAAAAUGCAGGGCUCAACUCUGUAUUGCGUUGGAAACUGUAUAACUAGAGUACUGGAGAGGUAAGCGGAACUACAAGUGUAGAGGUGAAAUUCGUAGAUAUUUGUAGGAAUGCCGAUGGGGAAGCCAGCUUACUGGACAGAUACUGACGCUAAAGCGCGAAAGCGUGGGUAGCAAACAGGAUUAGAUACCCUGGUAGUCCACGCUGUAAACGAUGAUUACUAGGUGUUGGGGGUCGAACCUCAGCGCCCAAGCAAACGCGAUAAGUAAUCCGCCUGGGGAGUACGUACGCAAGUAUGAAACUCAAAGGAAUUGACGGGGGCCCGCACAAG